UACGGAAGGCAGCAGGGGGAAUAUUGCACAAUGGGCGCAAGCCUGAUGCAGCCAUGCCGCGUGUAUGAAGAAGGCCUUCGGGUUGUAAAGUACUUUCAGUCGUGAGGAAGGUGUUAAGGUUAAUAACCUUAGCAAUUGACGUUAGCGACAGAAGAAGCACCGGCUAACUCCGUGCCAGCAGCCGCGGUAAUACGGAGGGUGCGAGCGUUAAUCGGAAUUACUGGGCGUAAAGGGCACGCAGGCGGUUAAUUAAGUUGGAUGUGAAAUCCCCGGGCUUAACCUGGGAAUGGCAUUCAAGACUGGUUAGCUAGAGUCUUGUAGAGGGGGUAGAAUUCCAUGUGUAGCGGUGAAAUGCGUAGAGAUGUGGAGGAAUACCGGUGGCGAAGGCGGCCCCUGGACAAAGACUGACGCUCAUGUGCGAAAGCGUGGGGAGCGAAACAGGGAUUAGGAUAC
rnacentral:rRNA from 1 species